GGGGCUCGCUAAUUUAAUUGCCAGCUCUGGAGCGUGCUUGCUGAUGGGCGGCGUACACAGGCCAGAACCAAUCCGUACAGGUGUAUAGUACCGAUAAUGGUACGGUUAUAAUAACAGAUGUGGUGCGCUCGCAUGAUCGCGGAUAGCUCGCACACGUCGUCACGUCUGCGUGAGGAAUAACAUCUUGCAGUAACAAAAAAUAUUUAAAAAACAAACAAGACUCUUAAAAAAAAAAACAACUAUUAAUCGUGAAAAAUACAAAAAGUGGCAAAAAAUCCAGAAAGUGAUAAAAAGUUAAGUUUUUUAUCUUUAUCGUGUGAAUCCAACGGUACGCUCGUUUUCGUAUAAAUGAGAGAGACAAACACGCGGCGAAGUUUUCGCCCAGGCGAGUUUUAGGAGCGCGGAGAACGAGCAGCGAGAAUGGCCAGCUUCAUGGACGCAUUCAUUCUACGGAAUAUCGCAUUCGCAAUGCUAAGUGGCGCUUUAAUGAAAUCGCCGCAGCACGCAACCACGGGUGGUAGCACGCUUUACUAUUAUUUAAUUGCGCGCCGCUAUUAGCGCACGAUUUUUAGUCUGUGUACUUAAUUCGCUUAACGACGCCUCCGAGUUGCUACCUGAAACAAAACGAGCCUCGCGUGGGACUCUAUUUGAUCGUGAGAGGACUUCGCCCGGGUUUCUGAUUGCCUGUUUCAUUAUGGCUCCCUGUUUGAUGCACGUUAAUGUCUUAUAAGUAUGUGAACACUUCUAAAUUAUUUCAGAUUCUGGUAUCGAUUUUUUGAAUAAUGAAUAUUUUGCAACUUCUACAUACAUUUGAAGAUUGGUUUCACAUUUUAGCAAUAGAAUUAAGGUAUAUAUGUCUCACUACUGUUAGUGAAAUCUCCAUAUGUUUUCUAUAACACACAUAAUACAUUCGAAAAAGUUACGUAAGUAUUAAAAUACUUUUCCGAAUCAUUAUAAAUUAGGUGAUUACAAGUCUGUUCAAUAUUGCGAUGUUAACGGGAUUGAGUUAUAUGUCUCUAGCAACAUUCCAAAACUUCAUAGUCGGCUCUCCUUUACGGAUAAACAUGGAUCUUAAGUGAUGUAUUUCUUGUCUUAGUUUAAAUUUAGCAGAGUACCGACCGAAGAUAAAGAAUCAACAUUAAAGAAGCAUUUUUCAACCACAACAUUGAACAUACACCAGGAACAUCAACAUUUCGAUCGGAUUACACCAAAUUUAAUUGUACAGACUCAUGGACGACCACGCGACGUUAUUUGCAUAAAAAGAGUGUUGAAUAGCGGAUGUCGUUUCAAAAGAAGAACGUAGGAAACUACACGAAAGAGGAUUCGACCCUGUUUUCAAGUCGCUUUUGUGCUUCGAUAAUUACCUUGAUAAUCUGAACACGUCUGCCACAGUGACAAUGACAAUUUUCGUCUGACAUACUUUUCACGAUAAUUGAAACCUAGUAAUUUGUAGCUACUUAAGAUCAAACCACCAGUCAUCCACCAGAAUCGUUAACUGUUCUCGAAAUAUAUAACUUGGAUCUGA